rnacentral:rRNA from 1 species
UACGUAGGGGGCGAGCGUUAUCCGGAAUUACUGGGCGUAAAGCGCACGCAGGCGGUUCGCCAAGUUUGGAGUGACAGUUGUCGGCUCAACCGACAAAGGACUUCAAAAACUGGUGAACUUGAGGACGAGAGAGGAACAUGGAACUCCAGGUGUAGUAGUGAAAUGCGUAGAUAUCUGGAAGAACACCAAUGGCGAAGGCAAUGUUCUGGCUCGUUUCUGACGCUCAGGUGCGAAAGCCAGGGGAGCUAACGGG